rnacentral:rRNA from 1 species
AGAGUUUGAUCCUGGCUCAGAUUGAACGCUGGCGGCAGGCCUAACACAUGCAAGUCGAACGCCCCGCAAGGGGAGUGGCAGACGGGUGAGUAACGCGUGGGAACCUACCUUGUGGUACGGAACAACCAAGGGAAACUUUGGCUAAUACCGUAUGAGCCCUUAGGGGGAAAGAUUUAUCGCCAUAAGAUGGGCCCGCGUAG